rnacentral:rRNA from 1 species
GACGAACGCUGGCGGCGUGCUUAACACAUGCAAGUCGCACGAAGUGGCGAACGGGUGAGUAACGCGUAAUCAACCUGCCCUUCAGAGGGGGACAACAGUUGGAAACGACUGCUAAUACCGCAUACUGAAGGAGGGGAUUGCGUCUGAUUAGCUAGUUGGAGGGGUAACGGCCCACCAAGGCGCUGAUCAGUAGGCGGUCUGAGAGGAUGAACGGCAACAUUGGGACUGAGGCAAGGGCCAGUCUCCUACGGGCGGCAGCAGGGGGGAAUCUUCCGAAAUGGACGCAAGUCUGACGGAGCAACGGCGCGGGAGUGAUGACGGCCUUCGGGUUGUAAAGCUCUUUUAAUCGGGACGCGGUACCGGAAUAGAAAGCCACGGCUAACUACGUGCCAGCAGCCGCGGUAAUAC